UGACGGGCCAGGAGUCGAACCUGGUUUUUUUUUUUUUUUUGGCUCAAACUUGGGAGUGUAAUAACCGCUAUACUACCACGCC